rnacentral:rRNA from 1 species
UGAGGAAUAUUGGGUCAAUGGGCGGAAGCCUGAACCAGCCAUGCCGCGUGAAGGACUAAGGCCCUACGGGUCGUAAACUUCUUUAGACGCAGAGCAAUAAGGUCCACGUGUGGACCGAUGAGAGUAUGCGUAGAAUAAGCAUCGGCUAACUCCGUGCCAGCAGCCGCGGUAAUACGGGGGAUGCGAGCGUUAUCCGGAUUCAUUGGGUUUAAAGGGUGCGUAGGCGGCCGAGUAAGUCAGCGGUGAAAGACCGGGGCUCAACCCUGGAAGUGCCGUUGAUACUGUUUGGCUGGAAUGAUCCCGCCGCGGGAGGAAUGAGUGGUGUAGCGGUGAAAUGCAUAGAUAUCACU